rnacentral:rRNA from 1 species
AACGUAGGUUCCGAGCGUUAUCCGGAUUUACUGGGCGUAAAGAGCGUUCAGGCGGUUUGGCAAGUCGGGCAUGAAAUCUCUCGGCUCAACCGGGAGAGGUUGUCCGAUACUGCUGGACUUGAGGGCAGUAGAGGGUGGUGGAAUUCCGGGUGUAGUGGUGAAAUGCGUAGAUAUCCGGAGGAACACCAGUGGCGAAAGCGGCCACCUGGACUGCACCUGACGCUGACACGCGAAAGCUAGGGGAGCGAACGGG